AAGGAAAAUGAAAAAAAUGUUAUGUGAAUUGAUAAAUGGAUAAUGUGGACAGCCUGACUAGAUAUCUUGGGAGAUGGUGGACGGACCGGAUCCGUAGGGAACCCUACCGGGAACGUGGUCUCUCAUAUCGGAUGGGGUAUGGAGACUUUAUGUGUUUUGGCGCCCAUACCGGACGGGGUAUGGGGACAGCUCAUUUCACCCUAAUACCGGACGGAGUAUUGAGGUUUAUGGUUUUGGUGCCGAUACCGGACGGGGUAUGGGGACGGCCCGUUUCACCCUCAUACCGGACGGGGUAUUGAGGUUCAUGGUUUUGG
rnacentral:lncRNA from 1 species